GACGAACGCUGGCGGCGUGCCUAAUACAUGCAAGUAGAACGCUGAAGGAGGAGCUUGCUUCUCUGGAUGAGUUGCGAACGGGUGAGUAACGCGUAGGUAACCUGCCUGGUAGCGGGGGAUAACUAUUGGAAACGAUAGCUAAUACCGCAUAAUAUUGACUAUUGCAUGAUAGUCAGUUGAAAGGUGCAACUGCACCACUACCAGAUGGACCUGCGUUGUAUUAGCUAGUUGGUGGGGUAACGGCUCACCAAGGCGACGAUACAUAGCCGACCUGAGAGGGUGAUCGGCCACACUGGGACUGAGACACGGCCCAGACUCCUACGGGAGGCAGCAGUAGGGAAUCUUCGGCAAGGGACGGAAGUCUGACCGAGCAACGCCGCGUGAGUGAAGAAGGUUUUCGGAUCGUAAAGCUCUGUUGUAAGAGAAGAACGAGUGUGAGAGUGGAAAGCUCACACUGUGACGGUAUCUUACCAGAAAGGGACGGCUAACUACGUG
rnacentral:rRNA from 1 species